rnacentral:rRNA from 1 species
GAUGAACGCUGGCGGCGUGCCUAAUACAUGCAAGUCGAGCGAACAGAUAAGGAGCUUGCUCCUUUGACGUUAGCGGCGGACGGGUGAGUAACACGUGGGUAACCUACCUAUAAGACUGGGAUAACUUCGGGAAACCGGAGCUAAUACCGGAUAACAUUUGGAACCGCAUGGUUCUAAAGUGAAAGAUGGUUUUGCUAUCACUUAUAGAUGGACCCGCGCCGUAUUAGCUAGUUGGUAAGGUAACGGCUUACCAAGGCGACGAUACGUAGCCGACCUGAGAGGGUGAUCGGCCACACUGGAACUGAGACACGGUCCAGACUCCUACGGGAGGCAGCAGUAGGGAAUCUUCCGCAAUGGGCGAAAGCCUGACGGAGCAACGCCGCGUGAGUGAUGAAGGGUUUCGGGUCGUAAAGCUCUGUUAUUAGGGAAGAACAAAUGUGUAAGUAACUGUGCACGUCUUGACGGUACCUAAUCAGAAAGCCACGGCUAACUACGUG